rnacentral:misc_RNA from 1 species
GAAAUGCGAUAAGUAAUGUGAAUUGCAGAAUUCAGUGAAUCAUCGAGUCUUUGAACGCACAUUGCGCCCCCUGGUAUUCCGGGGGGCAUGCCUGUCCGAGCGUCAUUGCUGCCCUCAAGCACGGCUUGUGUGUUGGGCCCCCGUCCCCGGUUCUCCCCGGGGACGGGCCCGAAAGGCAGCGGCGGCACCGCGUCCGAUCCUCGAGCGUAUGGGGCUUUGUCACCCGCUCUGUAGGCCCGGCCGGCGCCAGCCGACACCCCAACUUUAUUUUCUAAGGUUGACCUCGGAUCAGGUAGGGAUACCCGCUGAACUUAA